rnacentral:rRNA from 1 species
AGUGAACGCUGGCGGUAGACCUAACACAUGCAAGUCGAACGGCAGCACAGUAAGAGCUUGCUCUUACGGGUGGCGAGUGGCGGACGGGUGAGGAUUACAUCGGAAUCUACUUUUUCGUGGGGGAUAACGUAGGGAAACUUACGCUAAUACCGCAUACGACCUACGGGUGAAAGCAGGGGAUCUUCGGACCUUGCGCGAUUGAAUGAGCCGAUGUCGGAUUAGCUAGUUGGCGGGGUAAAGGCCCACCAAGGCGACGAUCCGUAGCUGGUCUGAGAGGAUGAUCAGCCACACUGGAACUGAGACACGGUCCAGACUCCUACGGGAGGCAGCAGUGGGGAAUAUUGGACAAAGGGCGCAAGCCUGAUCCAGCCAUACCGCGUGGGUGAAGAAGGCCUUCGGGUUGUAAAGCCCUUUUGUUGGGAAAGAAAAGCAGCAGGUUAAUACCCCGCUGUUCUGACGGUACCCAAAGAAUAAGCACCGGCUAACUUCGUG